AUUGAACGCUGGCGGCAGGCCUAACACAUGCAAGUCGAGCGGAUGAAGGGAGCUUGCUCCUGGAUUCAGCGGCGGACGGGUGAGUAAUGCCUAGGAAUCUGCCUUGUCGUUGCGGAUAACGUCCGUACACGGGCGCUAAUACCGCAUACGUCCUGAGGGUGAAAGUGGGGGUUCUUUGGACCUCACGCUAUCUGAUGACCCUAGGUCGGAUUAGCUAGUUGGUGGGGUAAAGGCCUACCAAGGCGACGAUCCGUAACUGAUCUGAGAGGAUGAUCAGUCACACUGGAACUGAGACACGGUCCAGACUCCUACGGGAGGCAGCAGUGGGGAAUAUUGGACAAUGGGCGAAAGCCUGAUCCAGCCAUGCCGCGUGUGUGAAGAAGGUCUUCGGAUUGUAAAGCACUUUAAGUAGGGAGGAAGGGCAGUAAGUUAAUACCUGGAUGUUUUGACGUUACCAACAGAAUAAGCACCGGCUAACUUCGUG
rnacentral:rRNA from 1 species